GUGGGGUGCGAUAGCAGCGCCUAGCUCAGUGACAGGAAGUCUCUCGUGCCUUGAGAACAGAGGACUCUCACACUCCCUUGGAUUUAUCAACAGCUCGGAGAGCAGUUCUGCACCCUGCCCAGGUACAAAGGCCAAAGAGCCCAGGGAGAAGGCCACGUGCCAGCACCUAAGAAUCCGAGAUCCUUUACACAUCCCCAGUCUGUCACUCAAGCCCUCCGGGUCUCAGUUUCCCUCCCUGUGACAUGCGUACCAGAAGGAAUGUGAGGAUAAAAUGUGAAAGAACAUUGGAGGAGGAAGUGGCCCAGUGAGAAGGGGGAAACCACCUUCCACCAGAAACUGCUUUGGUGUGAAGCCUCAGAAUACCCAAUCAGCGGCUGCCGGCUGGAAAAGCAGGCUUUUUAUUGACAAACCCGCAGAGGAUCACCUUCACAAAACACACCCAGGGCCUAAUUAAAAUCACAGAAGAACCACCUGCCAAAUCUCACGAUGAGGAAACUAAAUGUGAAGAAGUGGAAUAACUUGCCCGAGGUCCCUAGGGAGUAGCAGAGCUGGAAUCUGAGUCCAGGCAAGAAUCUAGAUCCCAAAACCUGAGCCCUUUUCAAGAGUGCCAAAGUUCAAAAAUCCUCUAUACCUUGCAUCUCUAAACCAAAUCAUGGGACUAGUACAGGAGCCUCCGCCAACAAGAAAAGUCAGAAGAGGGGCUUUGUUUUGUCUCCUGAUUUUUCUCAAUUUUCUAAAAUGAACAUGAAGUGCUUCUUUAGACAGAAAAAUGAAAACUAAACCAACUUUUUUUCCCAAUGACCACCGCCCCACCUCCUGCAGUCUUCCUUCAAACCCUUCCCAGGAGCAGUGCAGCUCAGAGCUCUCUACCCUACCUGAGCACUCAGCAUGUUCAGCACAGCCUGCACUGAAUUAGCUCCUCAAAAACAGAAACAUUGAUGCAACCACAGCAAGGCUGAGUGCCAGGCAGGCCACCAGGAGACUGGGCUGGAAUCAGCUGUCAGCUACCUAGUGAUCCAAUUAAGAAAUGUUGGUUAAUACUGGGGGUACAAUUAAAAAUACAUCAGCCAUAUUUUUUUAAGCCUCUUGUGAUUUUUUCAAGAACUUCCUUGAAAUAAAAAGCUUUGCUCAUUAUCGAUUAGCCAGCAGAAGGCAUCAGGACUUAUAAUUAAGUUUUCUUGGAUAAGGAAAAACUCCCAGUUGCCCUGUAGAAUUUGACGAAUGGCAAUCAGAUGGCUUAUGCCUGAGCACUUCCUUAGGGCCUCCAGAAGGAAACCUGUACAACCUUGGUAGCUUCUGGAGGUUACCCUGAGAUGUACACACAUGCGGUUCAUUUCUGUGGCUCUAGGAAGGUCUUCCUGGGCAUUGGCAAAGGCUCCUUCAAAAGGAGACAAGAAGAAUGAGAACGAGCAAUAUCCACCCUACCUGAACUGGUGGGUACUGAUGCAGAAAUCAGGAAAUUAAAAGCACCCUCCGUGGAUUUAUUGUUUAAUCAUGAACACCAGGCCUGAAUUCUAAGAACACCGGUGAAAUACAAGCCAGUUAGAACGGUUCAGAUGAACCAACAAUAUCGUCUACACAGGAUGCCACAAACUCUUCCCUGGCCAUUUUUCAUCUGCUCAAAUUUGCAAAAGACUCGUUUUACAAAACGACUGUGAUGUGCACUGCUAACAGGAAAUGGGUAAGGAAUCCCGAAUAAGCUCAUCUCUCAGGAAAAGGUAGUUUCCCUUUUGGCUUUAUCACCCUAACCAAGCUCCUCUCCUUCCAGGGGACUUCAGGAGUCAUUUAUCCCAAGCUGAGUAGUUACAUGGCAGAAAAACCUCUAGCCCCAUGCCUAUCAUGUUCCAGCUAUGGAAUGUGCAGCAAGCCUCUUCCUCCAAUCUUCAAUUCUUACAACUGAUGAACAGGAAUCAAGUUCUGCUUAGGUCACAGGGCUUUCUGUGAGAAUCAAAUGAGAUGACAUCUAGCACGGCACUUUAAAAGCAUUAAAGCCCUAUACUAGCUAAUAUUAGUCAUUAAUUGCAUGGAAUCAUAGAAUAGAAUGCAUAGAAACUUAGUCCUGAAAGGGAGUCCUAAUUUGAAAACUAUUUGAUAAAACUCACACUGCAGGCUCUAACCCACCAACUCACUGGCCUUUUGUUGCCAGACUUUGGCUACCAGGAAGAAACAUCCCACUCCAUCCAAGCACAUUUGUACCAUGAGUCUUUGAGCACACCAAUAGGACUAUGAAACAGGCAGCCAAAUCCCUAUC
rnacentral:lncRNA from 10 species